AUAAAAAAAAGAAUAAUAAUCGUCUGAAGUGUUUGCAGAUAAUAAAAGUAAAGGAUUGUAGAUAGACAUUGGAUUAUCUUUUAUGAGUGUUAUUCUCGAGAAUCCUGGAUCUGAAAAUCACAUACGACAGUAGACCUCACUCUUCUUCUUUCUGUCGUAUUUCUUCCGUUCAUUCGUAUUUUCGGUUGCAGAGAUGUGCAGAAGGGCAAUGUUUAUGGUCGUGCAAAAAUAGGGACAAAAAUGAAAGUACGAAAAAAAGAGAGAAAGAGAAAGAGUUCAUUCGGUAUUCCAGUCGCGAAGGAAGGUAUUCUCUCGCGUCUCUUCUCAAAUUGAUUGGCCACAUUCCUUUUCCCGUCCACAUUUCCGCCAGGCCAGAACCUCUUUCAUUUCUUUCUCUAUGUUCUCCUCGAGUCCUCUCUCUCUCUCUCUCUCUCUCUCUCUCUCUCUCUCUCUCAAUGUCUCCCUCUCUCUCUGUCUCCCUCUCUCUCAUUCUCUCUCACUCUCUCUCUCUUUCGUAGUAUGCAUUGUGCUCACAAGGAAGCGGCUUUUCGACAAUUACCGAAGCAAAACAAUGACUAAAGAAACACGAGAGAAUAGGAUACGUUAUAUUCGUUAGGGUCGACAAAAAGAGCAAACUUUUAAUCUUUAUUUUUACUCUCUUUGCUUUCUCUUAUAAAAAACGAGAUAGAGAGAAAAAGAGAAAGAGAUAGAAAAGAAAGAAAAAAUAGAGGAUAGAUAUCCCCCAUAAUUUUUUCUAAUAUUUGCCGGAGUUUCUUCUUGCAUUUAAACCAAAAAGAUUUUUCAUAUUAUAUCGGUGCAAUGAUGACAACGUUCAAAAAAAAAAAAAAAGAAGGAAAAUGUAAAAAGAAAAAAUGAAAAAAAAAGAAAUAAAAAGUUCAAUAGUAAAUGCGAAACUGAUCUUCCGUUAUGAGAAAAUAAAAAAUUACCACUGGAAGAUUACCAAGUCGCUUCUCUAAAGCAACGAGUUUUCCUGACUCGAUAGAAAACAAAAAAUUGUUCUUGGACUAGAUUCAUGUUUGGAGGAAAAAAUUUCCGUCCACCUAAAAUUUAUUCUCCCUCGCGAUGAGAUUAUGAUAUGAUUUCUCUCUUUUUCUCUCUAUUUCUUUUUUCUUUUGUUUGCUUGUUUAUUUGUAGGUUUUUUCUUUAUAUUUUUCAUUUAUAUUUUUUUUUAAUAUAAUUUCCGACGCCCGAAUAUCUGAACAGAAAUUUAUUAGCAAUCGCACUUAGCUGAUUAAUUUUUUUGCUCAAACGAUUGAAAAAAAAAAGAAAAUAUAUAAAAAUUAAUAAGAUUAUUGAUAAUAAAUCAUAUUGGCGAUCAUUAUCGAAGAUCUCAAAGUAUAAAUCUUCUUCGUAUUUCUUUUUUCUCUUUUUCUUUUUCUUUUUCUUUUUAAAUUAUUAAAUAUCAUAAAAUUAACAAGUUAUUUACGGAAUAAAUUAAGUUAAUGACCAUUUAUCGAAGAUUUAGAGAACUUGAGACAAUUUACUAAACAUUAUAAAGAUAAGAAGCGAUAGAGAGUAAAUUAUAUACGAUCAUAGGUACAAUUAUAAGACGUCUCAUUUUCGGAAUUAUAAAAACGUAGUAUCGCUGUUUGACUGCGAUGUCACUACAAAUUCAAAAUCUAUAAAAAGAAAGAGAGCCCUAUAGAGGCGACGCCACGGCCUAUUCAAUCAACAUUUCUUGUCCUCAAUAGUAGCAUAAUGUCGAGUAUGUAAGAAAAAAAAAAAAGAAGAAAAAGAAAGAAAAGAAAAAGUGAAGUAUUUGAAUUAGAUAAAGUAUCAAUUAACGAGAAGGACGGCAAAGAGUAAGAGGAAGAGAGGAAAGGAAGAGAAGGAAGAAUUUGGAAGUGAAAGUUAUUAAGACUUUGAGCGAGGAUCCUAAGGCAUAUAACUCUCUGGUGUGGACUUUAUAUCCCCAACUAGCCACACGUUGAUUCAGCUGGAUUAGUGAGGGCUCAAAGAAAAUGGUUAAGAGUGAGUUGUUACUAAAAUAUUCACGCUUAAGCAAUUGGCAAUUAGAAACGCAAUAGUAGUCUUAACCCAGAGAUCGAAACUACUAUGUAACACUACUAUGCCGUUACUGGCCACACCUUCCAAGAUACAGUAGUCAUCGAUGGUGGGAAUCUCCAAAUUGACUCCCAAAAGAAAGUUAACCGGGACCAGGUACCAAAAAGAUCUUACUAUUCUCCUCAACGCCAAUCGAAGUCGACUCAUCCGAGAACGGAUCACCGACAUUAACACAAAAAGUAUCAUUGAAAGCAGGAAGACAUCGAUUAUUUAUUGAUGAAUGAAGAAAGAUCACCGAUAAUAAUUUUAUUUUAAAUUAUAUACAAGGUUAUAAAAUUAAUUUUAAGCAGCCUGUUUUUCAGUUAAAAGAGCCAGUAAAUUUUAUAAAUUCGGCUCAGCAGUUAAGGGAUUGCAAGGAAGCUGUAGAUAUAUUGUUCAAAUUUGGGGUUAUUCAACCCUGUCAUAACAAAGAAAGCCAAUUUAUUUCCUUUUGUUUUUUAAUUUAGACAAAUCAAAUGGUAUAAAGAGAUUUAUACUAAAUUUUUAAAAAUUCAAAUUGUUUUAUUAAUACGGUGCACUUUAAGUUUGAGAAUAUUAAACUAAUAUCCAGAUUAAUCGCUUACGGAGAUUACAUGGCUAGUUCGGAUCUAGAAGACACGUAUUUUUUAAUUGCUAUCCAUAGUGGAAAUUUUUGAAAUUUUUGAGGUUUCAAUCGCAGCUUUAUGAGUUUUGUUGUUUACCAUUCGGUUUGGCUAUAGCGCCGCAUAUUUUCACAAAGAUUUUAAAACUUGCUUUAACUUUCUUCCAGUAUAUCUUGAUGACAUCUUAUGCAUCGGUUCCAGUUUUACAUCAUGUGAAGAAUAAUAUAUCAGCGACAAUUAAAUUGCUACAGUCUCUUGGUUUUAUUAUAAAUCAGAGAAAGAGUAUAUUAAUUCUAAGUAGGAAAUGUAAAUUCUUAGGAUUCUGCGUAAACUCAGAAAGAUUGACACUAGAGUUAUUUGAAGUAAAGCACGUUAAGAUUUUUUAAUUAAUUAAAGAAUUAAACAGAAGAAGAAAAUGUAAAGUUAAAGAAUUAGCUAAGUUUAUUGGAAAUUUAGUAGCAGCCUGCCCAAUGAUCAAAUAUAGAUGGCUUUAUAUAAAGCGGUUUGAAAGAGAGAAAUAUUUAGCUCUGUUAGUUACUGAUGACUAUUAUGAGACAUAGAUGAUUAUAUAAAAAAAACGAUUUAUUCAAACGCUUCAUUAACAAAGGGGAAUGCUCGUGCGAAGGCAAAGGUUUUGUUCAGCAGAGGAAAGUACUUUUCAUAUCAACUAUCUAGAACUAGUUGCAGUUUUUUUGGCCUUAAUGAUUUUUGCCAAUGAUUUUUUCCACUGCGACGUACUCCUGAGAAUGUAUAGUACUAGUGCAAUAUCCUACAUGAAUCGUAUGGUUGGGAUUCAAUAACCACACUUAAAUAAUCUAAUCAGAAAAAUAUGCUAAUGGUGAAACAAGAAAUAUAUGAAUUUUUGCAUCAUAUAUUUCAUCUAAGAAAAACGUCGAAAUAGAUAAGGAAUCAAGGUUAGACAAUAUCGAUACUAAAUGGGAACUUGCGGAUUAUGCCUCCACAAACAUUGUUCAAGCUUUCGUAACUCUAGAUAUUGAUUCAUUUGCUAUUAGAGUCAAUAUUAAAUGUAGAAUAUUUUAUUCUUGAUUUAAAGAUCCGAAAGGCUCCUAUGUGGAUACUUUUGCAUUAAGUUGGAAUAAUACAUUUUUUUAUGCGUUCCCUUCUUUUACUUUAAUACUGCGAGUUUUGCAGAAGAUUAUUGCAGAAAAGUCAGAGGGUAUCACAGUUAUCCCAUUCUGGAAGACUCAACUUUGGUUCCGUAUCUUUGAGUCCUUAUUGAUAGAGAAACCUGUCGUGUUGAAGCCUAAUAAACAGUUACUUUUAUCUCCUUGCAGACACAAUAACAUCCAUUGCUUCAGAAAUUGUCCUAGGUUGCCGGGAGAUUAUCAGGACAGCCUUCAGAAGGAAGAAUCUUUCACUUUAAACUUCUGAAAUAAUAUUAUCCUAAUCAGAGGGCACCUUAAACUAAUACUUCAAACCAAUAAACCCAUGCUGGAGAUUUUGCAUAAAAAAUGAAUCAGACCCAUAUGAGGUCCCAGAAUCUGGAUUAUUAGAAUUUCUAUUACUGAGGUUUGAGGCAGGAUCUUCCUACGGAACCUUAAAUUCAAUGCAAGUAGCUAUACCUUUGAUAUCCAAGUUUAUCGUCUAACAUAUUAAUCAACAGAUUUUCAUCUGAAAAAGCAUUCUCCCUCUCUCUCUCUCCUUCUCCCUCUUUCCCUCUCUCCCUUCCCCCCUCUCUCUCUUACUCUUUUACUCAUAUUAUCACAUAGCUAGCUAGUACCCACUUUUCACAAAGGUAAAUACAUCUAAGUAACAGAAACUACGAGAGAAGGUGGAGAAGGAGAUGGUGGUGCAGAUGUAGGUGAAGGAGGAAGAGGUGGUGAAAAUGUAUGUAUGUGGAGUAGGAGGAGGAAAGUGGAAAAGAGAAGGAGAGAGAGAAAUAGAGAGAAAAGUAUAAUUCGAAUACCAACUCAGAUGACAUAUUCGAUCCAGCCUCGCAUCCGUAUAUUUUGCAAAACCAGGUAGACGACACGUUCAAAAUUUCUCGAAACGAAUCUUAGGACGAAUACGUGUGACCAAAUUUGGAACUAAAAAUCUGAUAUCUUUGGUAAUGAAAGAAAAAGACAGUACUAAUUUAGAUAUCGAAUUUUUGAAUCUGCCUUAGAAUCACUUUUUCCAGUACCGGGAGAGCUUGAUCUACGAACAAUUAGCAUGUCAGAAACUAGCGAAAUUAAUGAUGUGCCAUGGGCAUACAUACAACAGAGUCUAGGAGAAAUAUUAUAUAUAAGAAUUUGGUAAAGACUCCCAUAAGGAUUUAAUACGUGAAAAUCACUCGUAAACUUUAGCAGGUCACAAGGGGAUAACAAGAACUACAAUAGAAUGAGACAGAAAUACUUGUGGGGAUGUAUAAAACAUCAGAUUCAAGUUUUCAUGCAAAAUCGCUUAGACUGCCAAUUGAAGGAAUUCGUUAGGGUCAACAUUUGAUAAAGUUGGGUUAGAUGUAAUGCGUCCUCUCUCUCAGACUUAGAAAGGAAAUAAAUAUAGCAUUACCUAUCAUAAUCACUACUUUUAUUGACAUAGCAAAUUUUAUGAUAGCAAAUUCGAAACACCACGCUCCAUCUUAUCGGAUCAGACCGCUAACUACUGGAAUUCUUUGAUAAAAGCGAUAGCACGCAAAUACAAAAUCAGACAGUAUAGGAAAUGCCGUUCUUUCCUUAAUCUAAUAGGUCUAUCAAGUUGUUGCAUCAAGUAUUAGUAGAAUAUCUGAAACAAUUUACUACCAGGGAAAAGGAUUGGGACGAAUGGCUAGACACUGCGAUGCUCUUGUACGACACGAGUGUUCAUAAGGGAACACGAUUUACAUCCUAUGAAUUCGUAUUCGGUAUGGUGACUCGGAUGCCGGCAUCUAAUCCGCCAUUAAACGAUGACAUGGAAAAUAUUCCAAAUAGCUGAAUACGGAGAAAUGCACGUGUAUCAAUUUCGUGUGGAGUUGGGCAGCUUCAUAUAGUAUAUUGUAAAGGUGAACACCCGAAAGGUGCCUGCUCCUAUGUUACCUCGCCCAUUAGGGCAUAUGCUACGGAGCUACCUACAGACAGCAGCCACCACAGCGAAGAGACCGGACUCGGAAAAAUCCAAAAUUCCUGCCGACGGGGCAGGAUGAGCGGUUUAGCCAUGACCAACAUCCUCGCAGCAACAAGUCACCACGCUGAUGCCGGCCGUGCCCACAGGGAACCAUGGGGAGGCCUACUUACAGUGUCACGAUCCUUGGCACUCGUUCCGUAGGAUGGGAUGGGAAAAGUUGGAUAGCAGAUUUAGGGGAGAGCGUUUGGUGGUGGGGAAAAAAAAAUGAUAAAAUAAAAAGAUAGUGAAAAAAAAUAGUACGAGCAUCUUCGAUCCUAUCCUGUUCGAGGAUGGGUUAACCUGAGAAGAUCCCAUCCCCAGAACUCUGACAAUUCCAUCUGAACAGGAUUCAUGAACUAAUAACCUUUAAUGAUGAGGGUUUCUUUGCAAAACUCCGCGAAGAGGGAGAAGGCCUCGGCCGUGGAGACAAGAUGUUUCGCUGCUUCCGGCCAACUCCUUUCACGGAGAAUUUCUUCCAGAGCCACUCUCUGGACUUCGAAAACCGGACAGUCGACGAAGUGAUGCAAAACCAUGUCCUCUUCACCACACUCGCAUGCUCCUUCCGUGAUGAUAUUCAGCGACGUCAGCUUGGCCUUGAAAGCUCCGUGUUCUGUAAGAAACUGCGAAAUGAAGUGGUUAGGAGAGACGAAACGGGCACCCAUCCUGUUCUUGAUGUCCGGGAAGAACGCGUAUGUUGUCCUUCCCUUGGAAGAAUUCUCUCAUCUAGUCUGCCAAUUCCUAAGGAUUUCCUCAUCGACCUGUAUUAUUAUCGCGCGUUUAAUCUUUGUGCCUUCCAGUUCCCGCGUCGCUGCCUCAGUGCUCCUAUUUUUCCUAAUAUCGUAUAAUCUUCUACGUUUCAAUAACUGAAGAUCAAUCGGAGGCUCCCCUGCUACGACGCAGAGGGAUUCCGUGGCGCUUGUACGAUACGCGAAUGUGACUGAGAUGAGGGCCGAUCGUUGGGUCGCGCUUAACCUCUUAACCUCCCCUUCCGUGUAGAGAUCGGACCAUCCUGCUGCCGCAUACGUAGUAAAGACGCCGCGAUAGAUCGCCCGGAGGGUGCAGUGACGGAGUCUCUAAUCCCUAGCUGCUAACCUACCUAGCUUUGCGAACAGUGGCUCGACCUUGUCAUUAAGGUAACGGCAGUGUGUCGUGAUCCCCAGCCCUUUAUCGAAGUAUACCCCGAGGUAUCUAACGGAAUUCCUAAAUUUAAUGUUAUUGUUCUUUAUCUUUUUGAUGGGAGGCCUACUCGCUAGGUCGGUCUUUUUCGCCGUUUUUCGCUUCCUAUCCGGACGUUGUCCUCCCCGUCUACCGAUAGGUUUCCUUUUCACCCAGUCGCUUUUAAGGACGAUCACUUCCGUUUUUCCGUUUUCACUCGGAGAUUGACAAUUUCGCCGACGUGCACCAUUCGGUGAUGCUGUUUAUCACAAGAUUUCCUUUCUCCUCGAGUUCUUCCCUGAAGUCUCCAUCUAUGACAACGAGUAGGUUUUCCGCGUACGCGAUCGUGUUGACUUCCGAGGAUUCCUCCAGUAUUUUGAGAAACUGAUCGAACAUGAGAUUCCAGCAGGAGGGAUCGAGCACCGAUCCUUGUGGGCAUCCUCUCGAGGCCUACUUUGAAACGUCAUACUCUCCCAGGGCGAUUUUGACUCUACGGUCCGCGAAGUAGCUUGUCAUCACGUUAAAGACAUUUCUCGGGCAGUCCCGAUCUUGGAGUGCCUUGAGAACUAGAGGCCACCAAACGUUGUCGAAGGCUCCCGUGAUGUCGAAUAACAACGCGAUCACAUAUCUCCGUGAGGAGACAGAAACGAUUCGACGCAUCUUUACGAUUACGUCUUCUGUGCAACGUCCCUGGACAAAUCCAAACUGUUUGUCAGAUAUUUUUCCUGGCGCGAGGGAGGUAUCGGUGAGGCGCAGCUUCAGCAGCCUUCCCAGAACUUUCCCUAUGACGGAGAGAAAGCAUAUUGGUCGGUAGGACUUGGGACAGCUUCAUAUAGCAUUGCGGGAUGGCAUCACACGUAUCAACCGUACAUAAUGGAAAAAAAAUAUUUCUAAUAAAUAUAAUCUUCGAAUUAUGUAAAGCGCUGCAUUCCGGUGCUUUACAUCGGAAUGUAAAAAAUCUACAUUCGACCCUCGAAGCUUACGAAAUCGAAAUUUACAGUAGAAAUAGAAUCUUACAGUCUGAAUUUUCCAAAUUCUAUUAGAGUUUUGUUAAUAUACUACGAGACAUACAAAUAUUGCGUGCAUUACACGCGAAUAGCAUUACUUCUAUCAAAUUGUAAUCGGGUAUUAAAUAAUAAUAAUUUUAUACGUAUUUUCUAAAUCUUUGUUAUUUAGAAAGUGAAAUGAAAAUUAUGUAACCUUUUUUAAUAGUUACAUUAAAAAUUUUUAUUAUUAAUUGAGUGUAAUACUUCGACAACCAUCACUACCAUCUUCCGACUUACUUCCUUCUGGAUCACCUCAUUGUCAAAUUUAUUUUUCAAUAAAUAACCAUUUCCAGACAGAACAGGCUUCAAGACAGGAACAAUUCGUAAACUGUUGUUACCAAUUUGAAAGUUAAUUUUAAAGGUGAGCCGUGUUGCCAACCAGUAACAUUGCCAGGAAAGGGUAAGUAUUUUAAGAAAUACCAAAAUUUAAAAUACCAGUCCUGGAUAGCUGAAUCCUUUGAGAACCAUUCAUACUUAGUAUUCUGUGCUACUCUUCUCGUUACUCUCUGCAGAUUCACUAGGCUUUCAUCAUUAUUCCUGAUUUCAUCUAUUCAAGAUAAUCCUUCCGUUGUUCUCAUUCUCAGUCACAUUCGUGCAUACGAAUUCGGUAAUUCCUAUUGCUCUUUGUCCUAUUUAUUUAUUUUACCUAUACCUAUUUCAUUAUUUCGUUUAUGACAAACACAACUAAGUAACGCUAGAACCUUCAAACUCACACUCGGCCAUUCUGCACGUACAUUCGUCCUUGAAUGCUUUUUUUUCAUGUUCGUCUAACGUCUUAGUGUCUUUAUAUUUUUCCUUCAAAUUACCUGCCAUCAAUUGGCUACACUUUGUCGACAUGUUGUUUUACAUUUGACUUUGCACUUUGUAAUAUCUUAUUAUCUAUCUCACUUAUUCCUUCACAUACAUUCAUCGUACUCCGAGUUACAAUAAUAUUUAUUUUAUAUUAUAUACUUAGCAAUUCUUGCUGCCCUUUUUCUUUUCUUUUCAUAAUAUUCAAAUUGUUGUUGUUCCUCUUCUUCGAUUCUUGUACUUUUCUACUCAAAAAUACAUGAAGAUGUAAAUUAUCCGAUAGCUUGUAUAGUUUCUUGUUCAUAGAUAAUUUCUCUGGUAACUUCGAAACAUCAUCGUCAACUUCAUCAUCCUGUUCUUCGUUUGAACUUUGAUGACCAAAUGAUUUCUCAGUUUGCCUUGCCUGAUCAACGAUCUUAUCUGUGAUGACUUCAGCAUCUGCCGUAGGACUUGUCUGUUAAGUUAUAUUCAUGUUUACGUUCGUAUUCAAUAUAACUGGUCUAUGCAAUAAAUCCAUAGGUUUUUCUAACAAAAUCAAUUAAUCUUCCGCUGUAUAAACCAUUCUCGUAUUUUGCAAAGUCUUCUAUAUUUGACGAUUCGGACUUCUUGCGAUAGUUUUGUCUGUGAGUGUCUUGGCAAUCGAUCAUCUUGUUAUUAUUGAUAUCGGAAUCAGUAACCGAACUAUUCUCUCGAUCUAAAUCGUCUAAUUCCAAGAUACGUUCACUGACCUCCUUUCUUUCAUCGACCAUCAAUGGAUAAUCGGACAUCUCGGACUACGAUUUCUCAUCGUCGUAUAAUAUACGUGCGAA